rnacentral:rRNA from 1 species
GUGGGGAAUAUUGGACAAUGGGCGAAAGCCUGAUCCAGCCAUGCCGCGUGUGUGAAGAAGGUCUUCGGAUUGUAAAGCACUUUAAGUUGGGAGGAAGGGCAGUAAGUUAAUACCUUGCUGUUUUGACGUUACCGACAGAAUAAGCACCGGCUAACUUCGUGCCAGCAGCCGCGGUAAUACGAAGGGUGCAAGCGUUAAUCGGAAUUACUGGGCGUAAAGCGCGCGUAGGUGGUUUUGUAAGUUGGAGGUGAAAUCCCCGGGCUCAACCUGGGAACUGCCUCCAAAACUGGAUGACUAGAGUACUGUAGAGGGUAGUGGACUUUCCUGUGUAGCGGUGAAAUGCGUAGAUAUAGGAAGGAACACCAGUGGCGAAGGCGACUACCUGGACUGAUACUGACACUGAGGUGCGAAAGCGUGGGGAGCAAACAGGAUUAGAUACCCGAGUAGUCC